rnacentral:lncRNA from 1 species
GUGUUCAUUAUUGGUAUGUGGUCAAGAAGUUCCGUGCCGUUUAAUUUACACCCACUCGGAGAGGAGCUGAAUUCGAAAGAUACCCGUUCUUCACUGCUUCAGCCACAGGAACUUUCAAAUCAAUGUGCAGCCUUGCCAGCGGUAAGCAAUACCCUUUGGGCAUUAAUUUAAAAAAAUACCUUGUCGACAAGACAGAAUACAUAUACAAAAUGGUCCAAGAAAAUGAAACACAAGUAUUUUGGUUCUUGUCGUGCCCCCGCCGAUUCGGGAAAACUCUUUCGAUCGACACCAUGGAGACAUUUUUUAAUGAGGAAAAAGAGUUAUUCAAAGGUACCGAAAUGUAUCAGCAAUAUGUCAGAUAUUUCUUAUUUGUCAAACAUUUCAGAGGUUGGCCAAAAAAUCCAGUAAUUCGUCUAGAUUUUUCUCAGCUUAAGUCUGAUUCCUUCUCUAAAUUUGAGUAUAGAAUGGUAUCGUUAUUGCACGAUCAAGCAGAGGUCCAUAAGAUUCAACUAGAUACACAGGACGUCUCAGUAGCCUUUCGCCGAUUGAUUGAGAGGGUGAAUAAAAAGCGCAAUGAAAAGGUUGUCAUUUUAAUAGACGAGUAUGAUGCGCCUUACACAAGAAUUUAUUUGAAAAAUAAGAAUGAAGCCUUCCGGAUGCUAGGAACACUUCAGGAUAUCUAGCUGUAAAAAAAGGUGAUGGUUCGCAUAUGUAAGCGCUGCAGGGCCCAGGGAGGACACUCAUCUGCAUCCAGCCCAGCGGUCAACUUUCAACCACACUAGACUUACGGAUUCCGGCACAAUGGCAUCAGACACCUCUUCCUCCAGCCACUCCAGCUCAACCUCAACCUUCAACUCGAUCCCCAGCCUGGAGUCGCUCUGGCCGGACAGCACCGUUUCUUGCAGCUUGGAAGACUCAGCAUGGGACAACUUCCAGAAAUUCCCACGCUAUUUGCAACCGCAAAGAAACCUGCACUCUAUCGCUUCAAACCAACAGCAACGAAACACCAACAGCAGCAGACAUACACUCAAUAAAUUAAGAGAAGAUUUUAAACAGCUUUACAGUUCCGAUACCGGUCGCAUAACGGUAAAUGUCUCUAGACAAAGGAUUUUAGAGGAUGUCUUGGGCCUUUUUAGGUCCAACAUCAUUAACGGGUACUCUCUGAUAAAUGUCAGAUUUAAAAACGAAUGUGCAGGUGAUGCAGGAGGGCCAACCAAAGAACUCUUCACGUUAUUAUUUUCAAUACUUGAAAAGCAGCUCCUUGAGGGAGAGAAUAGUGGUAAAAUUCUUAAAUUCAAUUGGACUGGAUACACGGACAAUCUUUACUUCAUGUUGGGACAAAUUAUCUAUCUUGCCUUCGUCAACAAUGGUCCAGGCCCUAAUUUGUCUCAAAAUUUCAUCAACUUGUUGGCAGGAGAAACAACGGACAACUUUGAAGUUGCAGAUUUACCAAGUGCUCAUCUAAGAGCACAGGUAACAUCUCUACAAGAAGCCAGUUCACUUCUACAUGUUAACUCAGCAAUUGCCGAAGGAACAAUAUUUGAAUUGGCAGGUAUUGGACAGCAGACGGAUAGAGACAUUGCUGCAUCAAAAAACUCCCUCUAUCUAUUCGCCUUGUCCGUCCCCAAAAAUCACCAUCGACUGGGACGAGGAACAUGA